rnacentral:rRNA from 1 species
AAAGGAAUUGACGGGGGCCCGCACAAGCGGUGGAGCAUGUGGUUUAAUUCGAAGCAACGCGAAGAACCUUACCAGGGCUUGACAUCCCGUGCAUAUCACAGAGAUGUGAGAAGUCCUUCGGGACACGGAGACAGGUGGUGCAUGGUUGUCGUCAGCUCGUGUCGUGAGAUGUUGGGUUAAGUCCCGCAACGAGCGCAACCCUUAUAGUUAGUUGCUAACAGGUAAAGCUGAGCACUCUAGCUAGACUGCCGAAGAUAAUUCGGAGGAAGGUGGGGAUGACGUCAAAUCAUCAUGCCCUUUAUGUCCUGGGCUACACACGUGCUACAAUGGCAAUAACAGAGGGGAGCGAAGGCGCGAGCCGGAGCAAAUCCCUAAAAAGUUGUCUCAGUUCGGAUUGCAGUCUGCAACUCGACUGCAUGAAGUCGGAAUCGCUAGUAAUCGCGAAUCAGAAUGUCGCGGUGAAUACGUUCCCGGGCCUUGUACACACCGCCCGU